UCUUGCGAGGAAAGAUUUAUCGCCUUUAGACGGGCCCGCGUCGGAUUAGCUAGUUGGUAAGGUAACGGCUUACCAAGGCGACGAUCCGUAGCUGAUCUGAGAGGAUGAUCAGCCACACUGGGACUGAGACACGGCCCAGACUCCUACGGGAGGCAGCAGUGGGGAAUCUUGGACAAUGGGCGCAAGCCUGAUCCAGCCAUGCCGCGUGAGUGAAGAAGGCCUUCGGGUUGUAAAGCUCUUUUGUCAGGGACGAUAAUGACGGUACCUGAAGAAUAAGCCCCGGCAAACUUCGUGCCAGCAGCCGCGGUAAUACGAAGGGGGCUAGCGUUGUUCGGAAUUACUGGGCGUAAAGCGCACGUAGGCUGACAUUUAAGUCAGGGGUGAAAUCCCGAGGCUCAACCUCGGAACUGCCCUUGAUACUGGGUGUCUCGAGUCCGGAAGAGGUUAGUGGAAUUCCCAGUGUAGAGGUGAAAUUCGUAGAUAUUGGGAAGAACACCAGUGGCGAAGGC
rnacentral:rRNA from 1 species